UUUUAAGACUGUGUUUGAAGAAAGAUAUCAUUUCUAAGUUGUUUAGCAGCUUUUAGACUGUUCGAGUCACGUUCCAGUUCAGUCGAGUCACGUCCAGGCCCCAGUUCAGUCGAGUCACGUCCAUGCCCCAGUUCAGUCGAGUCACGUCCAGGCCCCAGUUCAGUCUAGUCACGUCCAGGCCCCAGUUCAGUCGAGUCACGUCCCAGUUCAGUCGAGUCACGUCCCAGUUCAGUCGAGUCCAGUCACGCUCAGGUCUUGUCCCAGCCAGAGGUCACCACCUGUCGAACAAGUGCUAUGCACACCCGAUCAGGCCCGACGUCUGCUCCAUCGGGCUCGGCGGCUGCAAGCAGCCAAGCCGGCUCCAGAGUAGAUGCCGUCUCAGUCGCUGCCGGCUCCAGUGAGGAGCCAGAGAGCGAUACUCCGAUACAGAUGCCGUUCCUGUUCCUGUCGGCCAUGUAGAUGCCGUUCCUGUUCCUGUCGGCCAUGUAGAUGCCGUUCCUGUUCCUGUCGGCCAUGUAGAUGCCGUUCCUGUUCCUGUCGGCCAUGUAGAUGCCGUUCCUGUUGGCCAUGUAGAUGCCGUUCCUGUCGGCCAUGUAGAUGCCGUUCCUGUCGGCCAUGUAGAUGCCGUUCCUGUCGGCCAUGUAGAGGCCGUUCCUGUUCCUGUCGGCCAUGUAGAGGCCGUUCCUGUUCCUGUCGGCCACGUAGAGGCCGUUCCUGUUCCUGUCGGCCAUGUAGAGGCCGUUCCUGUUUCUGUCGGCCCGGUAGCGGCCGUUCCAGUCCCCGUUCCUGUCGGCCACGUAGAGGCCGUUCCAAUUCCCGUUCCUGUCGGCCAUGUAGAGGCCGUUCCCGUUCCUGUCGGUCCGGAAGAGGCCGUUCCAGUCCCUGUUCUUGUCGGCCCUGUAGCGGCCGUUCCAGUCCCUGUUUCUGUUGGCCCUGUAGCGGCCAUUCCAGUCCCUGUUUCUGUCGGCCCGGUAGCGGCCGUUCCAGUCCCUGUUUCUGUCAGCCCGGUAGCGGCCGUUCCAGUCCCUGGUCCUGUCGGCCACGUAGAGGUCAUUCUAGCCCCCGUUCCUGUCAGUUUUGGAGUGGCAGUUCCAGCUGGAGUUGCCGCCGCGGUCCCCACCGACCUCCAGGAGGAGGUCGCGCCAGCUGGAGUUGCUGCUGCGGUCCCUGCCGACCUCCAGGAGC
rnacentral:lncRNA from 1 species